rnacentral:lncRNA from 1 species
UGCUUUUUGGCCUUUAGUUUGACAAGACUCUAACCGCAAAGCGUUUUUAAACAGUUUUUUUAUUACGGUCACCAUACUCACCCUUUCCUAAGGUCUUCGACAGCUUGGGACUUCUGCAAGCUGCACUAUCAUCUCGUUCAUCAGCGACAAUGAGCUCAUCUGUGGAAUCGUCUCGGCCCACCAGCAGGGAGUAAUCAAUGAUGAGGUGGCUGGACAGGAAGAGCGCGUCGCUGUGGAUGGCAGCACGCAGGAUGGCCUUGCAGUGCGAGCGAAUAUAAAGGGGAUUGUCAUGCACCAGUUUGAGCAGGUUCUCAUCUAGGAGCACCACCUCACAGCUCUCCUUUCCCUGGUCCGUCUUCACGUUCCUGUUUCUCAGCGAUCCUUUCAGGUCAAACACCUGCACAAACACCAGAUAACAUUAAAAGGUUUUCCAUCACAAGCAGGUCAAGCUUCUUCUCAGUGUUGUUCUGGGAGUUCUUGUAGCCGAUGCGGUACACUCCCAGAAUCUUAGCAAGUGCUGUGGGUCGCUGUUGCACAGAUGCAAGAACAUGUUGCCUUAUACAAAGGUUGUCUGUGUCUGCCUGGGCUAGGAGGAACAGAUAGACGUUUUCUGCCUUUCUCUUGCUGGAACAGUUCUUGAAGUCUGAAGAUGAUAAUAAAUCAGUUCUGCUGUUAUGAGACUGCCUCAACUGCCUUCAUUCCUAUAGCUGUAUGAAUCCAGUUCUCACCUGUUGUUCCAGGACUGCAGGGUUUCACACAAGCCCUGUUUUUUG